GACCUGGUGAGCUCUCCUGGCCCUGUGCUUCCAGCAGAGCCCUGAGCCGUGGAGAGAGCACUCUAUGAGAACAAGGACCCUGUCUCCAGACUGGACCUGACCCUGGUGCUUCUGGCCAUGCUUUCAUUGGUGGCUGUGGUUUCUCUUGUUACUGUGACACUACUCCAUAGGAGAAGCAGCUGGAUGACAAGGUCCCAAAUCUUCCAUGGCAGAUGACUGUAAAAUAAGGGAGGGGGAGCAGAAAUAAAAUGUCUGGACUGCA